rnacentral:sRNA from 1 species
UAUUAAGUGUGAGAACUAUUAUCUAUGGAAAAAAAAAGUUGACUAAUCCUAAUCUCUGUAUGUAUUGACAUGUCUGUGUUUAUAUUGGGAUAAUUGAAAAUAUUUAAGUAGUUUAACUUAGAGUUAGAAAUUUAAUGCUUUUAAAGUUUGUUUUACACUUACUUAACUUAUAACGAGACUUGAUACUACACUAUUGUAAAGACCAUAAUCCUUGACCUAUAAGUACAAAAUUAUUAAGUAAAAUUUCAAAAUAUUCAUAAAUAGUAGUUCCAUGUAUUUUUGAAACUCACUUAGGAAAGAAAAAAUGAAAAAUUAAAUUAAAUUACAAGAGAAUAAAAUAAGAUUUUUUUUUAAUUCCUAAAACCCAGCAAAACAGAGAAAAAGGCAAGUUUUUUUUUUUGGAUUCAUUGAAAGUGAAGAAACUAUUUUGUUACAACAUCAAAGUUCAAAUAUUAGUUCUCUAAUUUUUUUUUCAAAAGUAAAAAACUGCAAUUUCAUCUAGAUAAGAGAGCAGACAAAGAACUUUUAAUCCAAUCUCUUUCCUAGAAAGCUAGUGAGCAAGACCUAAUGCAAUUGUAGCAACACAUAGACCAACAGUAACAUCAGUCUUUAAUUUUUUUUCUUCAGUGGCUACCCAUUUGAAAUAUCCUGCAAGUACCUACAGUGCUCCUGUCACUUACUUGAAGAAAUCUGAGUCUGCCUAUGGAGGUAGCACAAAAGUUCUAAAAAUGACAGAUGAUCUCAGAGGGCGACUACCACAGAAACGCACACAAUCUGAAAUAGCGUAUGGAUCAUCUGGAAGACCAAGAUCUCAUAAAGGAACACUACCACGAUCUCGUUCUCAUACUGACUUAGGAGCAUUGUAAGAAGUGUUUGACUGUCACCACAAGAUUUGCCUUAUUCAAGUUGACUUAAGUUGACAUUUCCAGUAGAUCAUUUACUGAACACACAUCUUUUGUUAACAUGCUUUUCUUUCUUCGUUUUUUUUUUUU